rnacentral:lncRNA from 1 species
AUCAUAUUUAAACAUAUAUACAAGACUAUGACGAGUAUGCACCUCAGCACCUGUCAUCAGACUACAUGAAUAAAACCAUAAAAAAUAUGCUAUUUGUCACGCACAUCUUGCUCACCAGCUAGAUUUGAAAGCUAUAUAUAGUGUGGAUAAUAUCAUGCCACCGUGUCCUUACCUUUAGACAAAAAGUAAAAAAAAAAGUUUUCGGUGUGACUUAUCUUUUUGUUUUUUUUCCUAUUGUAGUCUCUUUCGAAACUCCAAGAAACCCAUGGCUUUCAUGGGCACGUGAUCAAUCAUUAGUAUGAGGCUAUUAGCAUAAUGUAAUCUAAUCAUGCGCGAGACUGGUGAUAGAUUCCCUCUAGUCGAUCAAGCGGCGUGCAAGGAAGAGUAUCUCUAUGCCACGCAUAAUGCAUUACUACUGCUAGACUAGAUUACUGGAUAGAGUAGCCAAUGGAUGGAAGCACAUCCAGCAGCUGGCGUGUCCACCGUCCACGGAUGCGCUGACUCGUCCGGAAUCAUCACCGCCACAUGCGAUCCGAGUCGGACGAUGCUGACCCAUCCUGCCACGUCAGCUCGGAAAAGGGUAAACGCGGCGGGGCGCGUCGAUCGUCAUCGGGGGACGUUUAGGGCCUGUUUAUGGAAAUGGAAAUUUUUUGAUAGUCACAUCGGAUAUGUCGAAAAGAUGUCGGGAGGAGUUUUUAGAAAGUAAUAAAAAAGUAAAUUACAUAGCUCGUCAGGAAACUGUAAGACAAAUCUAUUAAGUAUAAUUAAUCUGUCAUUAGCACAUGUGAGUUACUGUAGCACUUAGGGCUAAUCAUAAAGUAACUAGGCUUAAAAGAUUCGUCUCGUGAUUUUUAACCAAACUGUGUAAUUAAUUUAUUUUUUUAUGUAUAUUUAAUGUUCCAUGUAUGUGUUCAAAGAUUCGAUGAGAUGGAUAAAAAAAUUUUAAGUAGGGGUCUUAAUUUUUCACGCCGGAUUGGUACGUGCGGCCCUCCACUCCGUCCAGACUCCAAAGUGCGCGGGGCCCCCAGGGACGUACGGUGGGUCCUGUCUCAGCAGCGCUGGUGACCGUAUGUCCGUCGUAGUAUCCCUAUCUCUCUCCGACCAGAUAAAACGGCAAGGAAUGAGAUGAGGUGAGAUGCUUGACAAGGCUAAGAGCAAGUUAGCAUUUUUCUGACGCGAAGGAUUGCCAAAAGAAAAAGAAUAAGCUGGACACGGAUGCAUAGUGGACUCAUAUAACAAGUGAAUGCUGAGGAGAAAUAUAAAAAACAAUGUAAAACAUAGGGAAAAAGUAGUAUCAUAUCUAACUAUAUCUAUCUAUAAAGAGAGAAAAUUUCAGUCUGCCCAAAAGUUUUCUUUCGUCAUGUCCUAUAUCCGGUUCCGUCUAGAACAGCGCCUGGUACGUUGUGGAGGAGAAAAAAUGAAUAAAACCUUUUCUAGGUUCCCAAUACAAAAUCUGCUAUAUAUAUUAGAGCAUGUUAAAAAUAAAAAAAAAAGUAUAGAGGUUUAAGUACAAAUCUGCGCGCAAUCUAUCCGGCUUCAUCCACAAAUUGGGCCCGUAGGUAGACUGUUUGGAAGAGGAAAAAAAUAAUAGAAGUUUCUCUAGGGUUCCCAAUGCAAAAUCUCAUAUAAAAAUUAAUAAAUGUGUAGUAAUUCAUAGAAAAAUCUAAAAAUUACAAAAAAAAAAUUCGCUCCAUAUAUUUAGAUCCAUGCAGUAAACAAAAAAUAUCACAAAUUUUAGUAUUUUUUUGUUGGAGAUGUUUGUCUAUGCUUUUUAGUAUAAAAUUGAAAUUGUAGUUAUCUUGCUCUAAUUAUUAUGAAAAUUUUAUGAUAGCCUAUUUGAUGUGAUGCUUUAUUUGUGGUAAAAGUUUUAGCACAAUUCUUAUAUACCUCACUGAUUUACUAAUUUACCUAAAUUUAUGCUUGAUGAUGCUUCCACUACCUUUGCAUAAUGUGUUGUUAUUUCAUAUGAACACUUUAUAAGUCUAUGUGUUCAUAAUCUACGUACAUUUAACUGAUAUAUCAUAUUUCAUAGGAAUCC